UAUGUGGGUGCCUCUGGCUCUUUCUAUCUUUUGGUUCACAUUAGGUAGCCUUGUCUCAGAUGGUCCCAGAUGGCAGCAUCUGCAUUCCAGGAUUCAGGAUAAAGGAAGGAUGAAGAAGAAGAAAUGGCACAUCCUGCACUUCCUCUUAAGCUCCAUGUGCAUCCAUCGCCAAGCUGUAUGCUCCGUCGAAGAGGAUGACCUUCCCCCACAGAGGACUGUUCUUCCGUCAAGGAUUAUGGAGGGAAUGCAUUCUAGACAAUAAAAUCUAAGGGGAAAAAUAUUGCCAUCCUGUUUCAGCACUGCCAUUAAAACCAACGAUGGCGGCCAUUGUUGUGUAAAGGGAAGAAAACAAGUUUACAGUUCCUCAUUUCCCACGGAAGCAGCUGGGUGACACACAGCGUGUUUAUCCAGCCCCUAAAAUCCUGCAUCGUAAGUCAGACUGAGUGGUCAUAUUCCUCCAACCCCACUUUGCAUCCCAGUGAAAUUCUACCAUGUACAGGGAAGCUCAAAAGAGAGAGAAGUUUGAGAAACAAUUCUUCAGCCUUUAAGAGGGAAGAUGGAAGGGGUACCUUUCAAUUAAAUGCUCUGAUGAGUGAUGAUACUCCGCCCUGGAAGUUCGACUACUUCAGGAAUAUACCAAGAUAGAGAUGAAUCUAAGGUAAACAGUUAGUGUGGGAAAUACGAGAUGAGGAGUGUGGCUUGUACAUACAACAGCCCAUAAUUCCUGCCACUCAGAUACCAUGGUUUUUAUUCAGGGUGAAGCUUAUUCUUUUGAGUUAAUUCAUAUCACUCAGUUUCUUGGUUGGGGGAGUACUUUUAGAUACAUGUCCCCAAAUCAUCAGACUGCUUCAAACAAUUGGGUGGAUCACUUUGCUGUAUACCUGAAACUAACACAAAUUGUAAAUCAACCAUGCUUCAAUUAAAAAAAAAUAGAUAGAAUGUUCUCUAGUGAGUUGCCCCAUGAUCUCUCAGGAAGCAGUGACCUGUCCUCUGACCACUGAAGCUUUCAGGAAUCCAAACCCCAGACUCUCCGGUCAUUUCUCACCGUGUACGGUUAGUCAUAUUUCCCUGGAUGCUUUGUCUUCUGUCCUCUGUCAUAUGAGUCUUAUGUCUCUGUGGCAGCACCAUGUUUGAUGCUUCUUAUAGUAGACUCUCCCGGGCUUAGUAAACUAGUCCCGUCACUGAGUCACCACAGAGGUCAUCCCCGCCUUGUGUGGUGCGCUUGAGGUGGAGAUGGAUAAGUCUCAGUAAAGCUCACCCAGCCCCACAUCUGCCCCUGAUGCCCUGGAGAAGAACUGAAUGCACAGUGUUCAGUUGUGGUUUCCAGAAGAGUCUCAGGACUUCUUGGUGGAGAGACGGACUGAGCACUCAUAGGACAUAUUGGCUGCUCUUUCAUAAACAGAAGCCCAGAGUUCAUUAGCGAUACUGCCACCUCUCAAGAACUACUUUUAGGUUGAAUUUAGACUCCCCCCACCCUCGCCCCCAGUGAGGGUCCUUAGCAAUUGUGGGAGGUGUCCAUUUGAUCUCCUUUGGUGGUUCCACGCUGCCUGUGGGUUCCCCUUUCUCCUGGGAAAUCCUGACUCUCAAAACGAUGCUUCAGACUCUGUACUGGUCCUGCAAAUCAUAGACAACUGGACCAAGGCCUAAUAAUAGUUGUAGUAAUAGUAGUAAUAAGAAUUGCUACAACUGUGUGGAGCUUUCUAUGUGGCAGCUGCCACAAACCAAGGCCACACAGGCUCAUGAGCUUGUCCAGGGCACACAGUUAUAAGUGUUGGAGUUGGGAUUGAAAUCCACGCCUUUGAGCCCCGUGUUGUGCGUCCUUUACAAUCCUAGCAUCUUCGUGUUGUCUUCCAUUUGCUGGGUGGAAAGAGAUCAUUUGUUCUGGCCAUAAGAGUGUGCCUGGUGGAGACCCUAAGCAUGGGAUGCUCCCGGGCCCGGCCCCUCUUUAGUACGUUUCAUUACGCCUCCUCCCGCCUCCCCCCGCCUCCCCCCUCCACACUUCCCCAUCCCUCUGUACGUCUUUUACACAGCAGGGCAGGGUAAUUCGCUGCAUGCUAGGCAGUAACUACAUAGUAAUAACAAUAAUUCUUGCUACUUAGAGCUCCUUAUCCGAGGACGUCACCCAAGCUUCAAGAAAUUUAAACAUAUCUGUUCACAGCAGCGUGGUGGGGUGAAGUGGGCCUCAUUUUCAGGCCUGGAGAGAGACAUUCAUGUGUAAAGAAACACCCAGCCUUUCCUAAUGAGGGCCUCCCGGCCAGACAUGGAACUAAGAAAGAAAGGGGACCUAAUGGGGGAAGGGCCAGACAGUCCUGGUCUCUGGUUUCCCUAAAGUCUCUUUGCAUUUGAAUCUUGUUUUCUAUCUCUAAGAACCCUCUGACUUCGAGGCAUUGACGAGAAAAGGCUGUUCACUAGCUGAGUCUCUGUGAUGAAAUUAGCCACCAGUGUCCAGGUAUUCUCCCCAGAAACCCUCCCCAAGGGGGCUACCGCCUGGCUCUGGUGACUCUUCCCCAUAACCAUCUACCUUGGAUUCCCCACUCCCUCUGCCUUUGUGGGCUGGUGCCCUAUCCCAACUCCAAGGAUGAAUUCACAUACAGGUUUCCCCUGGCAAUAUCUCUACUCAAGGCCCCAAGGGCAGCCUGGGCUGGGAUGGGGGCUCUUUAGCUAAGGGCCAAAGUCCCUAGAACCUCAUUUUCUCCUCCUACCCUCCAGCUGCCCCUUCCUUGCUAGGGUUGAGCCUCUGGGCUUGCUUCUCACCCACCUGGACCCGUAGGAUAUGCCACUCUCCACUUGUUUGGUCCAACAUCUGCACCCCCAUAGGACUCACUGGAGGGAUGGAUGCACUUAGAGGAGGAACAUUUAGCGUGGAAGUUAAGUUAAUCAGCUAGGGAAAUACUCUUGUAUUCUUGGAUUAUGAGUAAGUCACUGCUAAGUCAGUCAGAUAGAGAAAGGCAAAUAUCAUGAUAUCACUUACAUGUGGAAUCUUUAAAAAUGAUACAAGUGAGCUUAGUUACAAAACAGAAAUAGACUCACAGACAUAGAAAACAAAUUUAUGGUUACCAAAGUGGUGGGGGGGAUAAAUUAGGAGUUUGGGAUUAACAGAUUCAGACUACUAUAUAUAAAAUAGAUAAACAACAAAGACCUAAUCUAUAGCACAGAAAUAUAUUCGAUAUCUUGUAAUAAACUAAAAUGGAAAAGAAUCUGAAAAAUAUAUAGUUAUAUAUAUAUAUAAAACUGAAUUACUUAGCUGUACACCUGAAAGUAACACAUUAUAAAUCAGCUAUACUUCAAUUUUAAAAAAAGAGCAAGUUACAGCUGAUUCUCAGACAUGUUGAAGUGAAACACCAUCUCGCAGCACAUAGCAUGUGUCUGCUUUCCUAAAGACCACACCAGCACCCUGGCAAAAGAGUAACAUCGUCCUAUGAGGCACCCCUUACAUGCAAACCACUGCUCUGGAGGCAGAAAGAUCUGUGUGGAAGUAACAGACAUUGCUCUUUCUCUCAAGGCGCACAUAGUCUUAGAGGGGAGACAGGAUAUAAACACACACAGAUACCGGGACAUCUUGAUUUUCAAGUAUGCUCCAAAUCCUUAUUCCAAGCAGGUACCACACUCUGAGACCAAAAGGUGGUUUCCACUUCAGACUCGGUCACAGUGAGAAACCCAGAAGAAAGACGAGCGAUUUAGUCCAGGUAGAUGAGAAGCAUUAAAAUCGCUGGAGCUUUUCCUUCUGACUCAAAGCAAAUACAUUUGUCAAAUACACCAUAAAUAUACAUUUGCACUAUUUAUUACCUCUGCCUAUAAAAGAAAAUUGUAUUAGGUGAUUGGGCUGAAAAUGUGUCAAAAAUAUAAUUUGCAUCUCUUUUAUGUGGGUGUUUUUGUGUGUAUUUGCUAUAUUUCAAUUUGCUAAUAUACAUAUAUAUCUCUAUAGAGACAUGUAUAAAUGCUGUUUAGUUCUUCUGAUAUUUGUUUUUAUUUUCUUGGUAUAAAAAUUUCAAUAUAAUUUGUGAUUCUAAAAAUAUUGCUUUUGAAAAAUAUGGUGUGGAUCCUUCACUCCCUUAAUUCCCAUAAUCCAAUACAAUAAAACAUUUACUAGAAGUAUAUUAAAGAGAAUUUCCUGAAGGAUUUGCUUCUCUUUGACAAACUGUUGCUAGAAGAUUGUGCACAAUGUUUUCUGUGUUUUUCAUGGAAUUCAUCUCUCUUCAGUUAGGAGAAUUUCCCCAAGCUUUUCCUUCCCUCCCUAGAUGGGAAGACUCAUUUUCCCUCUUAGUAACCCUACCAAAGGGAACUGAGAUUCCAGCUAUUGGACCACAUACUUUACUCUGCAAAUGUCAUGGAUUUUGGAAGGAGGUAUAUUCUUCUAUGUUAUUAUUAUUUACAGCAUGUAAAAGCAUCUUCAUGUUUACAAAAAAGACUUUUGCAAUUAUGUCUUUUGCCAGUUCCCCUCAAUCACUUUAAGAAGCAGGUCAACAGCCUCCUCUGUUAGGGAAAAGGGGAUAAAGCCCAAGGGGAGAUUAUGUCCCUUUAGGGUCACACAGAAAAUCAUUAAAAAAUUAUAACCUAGGUAUCCCACGUCUUAAGUGCUCUGCUUUGCCAUUAGAAAUGUCAUGUUAGCUUCUUUUCCUCAUCUACAAGCCACAUACAUAUUAUUUUUCCUGAACUAGAUGACAUCUAGGGCAAAGAGAGGCCACUGUCCCUUCUACCCUAUUUUGAACUAGAUUCAAAGGAAAGUGACCCCUUCUCAGAGUCCUCCUGGGAGAACUGGCCAGAGUUCUCCUGGCUACAGUGUGGCCAGGCAGAGAGGAUGCUGUGGCCUGAAUGGUGUGUCCACCACCCUCCCCCCACAUUCUUGUGUUGAAGCCCUAAUGCCCAAGGUGACUGUAUUUGGAGAGAGGGCUUUCAGGGGGUAAUUAAGAUUGAGGUAAUAAAGGUGGGGCCCUUAUCUGAUAGAGUUAGUGACCUUAAAAGAAGAGGAAGAGAGACGGAUACCUCUUUCUCAUGUGCACACACUGAGGAAAGGCCGUGUGAGGACACAUGAAAAGGCAAACCAGGAAAGGAAUUCCCACCAGAAACCGACACUGCCAGACCUUGAUCUAGGACUUGCAGCCUCCAGGAUUUUGAGAAGUAAAUUUCUGUUGUUUCAGUUGUCUAGUUUACGGUAUUUUGUUAUGGCAGCCCCCAAAGACUAAAACCUUAAGGUUUUCCUUUCAAGUCAGUCUUGGAGUCCAUGUGGCACAGGCAGGACCUAGAAGCUACUCAGAGUCUGGCUGGCAAAAGCUUGCUAGAGGUGGGUCCCUGGGGAUGAGGUGGCACCAUAGCAAAGGCUGGAUGCUGAGUCAGGGCCAGGGGCUGCUGCAGAGCCCUGCCCAAGCGAAGCUCCAGACUAAGAAUUCCACCAGCUGCAGACUUGAGCCACCACAGCCAACAGGGCAAGCAGCUCCCAGGCAUCACCUUAGAGACCAGGAGGCCGAGGACCUCAUGUCCAAGGCUCUCCAAUCUACCCUGCUCAGUGUGACCUCAUUGGUCUCCCCACUCCAUCCACACAUCAGAACACCCCCAGAGGGGAAGAAGAUGGGGGUAGGAAGGUGUCUCUGAGAGAUGGAACAUUUUUAUUAAAAAGAGUCUUGACACCACCUAAAGGGACUGUUAAGUCAUCUAGAAAUGGAACUGGACAGCUAGUUCAUUUUCCCCUCCUGCUUGUAGGGGCUCAGGAGGAAGGCCAGUGUAGUUACAGGCAAAUAGAGGUAUAAUCUGUUCUCUGCCCACACAAGUUGUAAUCUAAGUUGAAUCUUAGAUUUGUUAGAUUAGAUUUGCCAGAGCAAACUGUGGGCGGUGUGCUUCUUCCCCGGGAGAGGUGGGAUUGGUGACUGGGUCAACUACAGCCAUAUUCUCUGAAAGCAAGCAUCUUGGGAGUUUGUGUAAAUGAUGCCUGCCCCACUCCACCCUUUGUUCUGUCUCCCACGUCUUUUCAUAUGUAGGCUGUGCUGUGUUAUUUACUACAAUUGGUGAUAUUUGCAUUAAUUCUCAUAUGUUUUUAUCUUCCCAACUGCAUUAUAAACUCCUCUUGAGCAGAGGAGGGUGCCAAGGUCAGAGCUCUGUUAAAUAUUUGUCAACUAAAGCAGUGGUGUUGCUGCCCUGCAUGGUGGGACCUGAGUGUGUCUGCGGAUUUUGCAGCGUGUUUCAAAAUCCUAGCCGAGGACUCCUGGGCGGGGCCAGCCGUGAUGUCAGCUAUGCGACCUCUCACAUGUCAGCUUCCAUUUCAGGACCCCAGACUCCACAACUGUGAAAUGAAAAAGUUGAUCUAGGAGCCCAUGAAGAUUCCCUUUGAGGUUUCUCUUGUAUGAGAGUGUGAGAUCUCUUAGUUCAUCUUUUAUUAUCUUGCCAAUGGGCCAUUGGAGAAAUGGAGCAUAGCUAUACUAUAGUUAUGGACUACUGAGAGCUGUUCUAAGUGCUUUAUGUAACAACCUGAUGAAGAAGACCUUGUUAUUGCCCUCACCAUUUUACUGGCAAGAAAACUGAGGCACAGGGUGUAACCUGCCCAAGGAAACAGAGUAGGUGAGGGUUAGAGCUGGCUUGGAUGAAGACAGACGGCUCCGGAAUCCUGCCUCAGCCCUCACACUGUGCUGCCUCCAGCAUCAAGAAUUAUUAGCCAGUAGGUUGGCUUUGGAAGAGACAGGAACUCAUACUUCCUGAGCUUGGAAGCCUCCAGAGUCCCUACAGCCAAGGCCCACUUUCAUUCCAAGAUGCUCUUUUUUUUCCCCCCAACAGGUUAAUUUCUAAUUUAGUCAUUUCAGAAACAUGUACUGACUGCCUGCCAUGCGGUAGGCUGUCUUUGUCUUGGGCAGGGAUUUGAGGUGCAGGCCAUUAACAGGGAUGGGUUUGGUAGUUGGGAAGGCUCUCUGCAGAAGGUGAGUUUCCAAGGUAUUUCUUAGGGAGAGACUCAUUCAAAUUUGUCAUGUUCAUUCCAGAAAACCAAAUUCUAUCAUCUCACCGAAUGCUGUGGGAUUUUCCAUGGGGCUAUCAGCUGGGCCCCCAAAGAUCCCCAAAUGGGCCCUUCUUACCCUGUGAUUUAUAAUCUUCCUAAUCUUUAAUUGAUUUACUUGGCUUUUGUGAGGAGAUGGUAGGAGGAAAGUGGGAACUAUUUGUCUGAUCGAUGGAUUUGCUUGUAAUUCCCUGUGAUGAGAAAACUGUGCAUUUAUUCUUUUGAGCACAGGGACUUUUCACAAUAGUCAUUCCUCAAAUAGCUGAUAAGGGCUGAACUAGAGGCAAUGUCUUCUGUGGAGGAAACAACAGUAACAUGGUUACUUUUCUAAGCAAUGCCUUGGGCACCUAUGGAUGAGGCACCUUGCUCUUGAUCCCAAAGAACUUAAGCCGGUUCAGCCACAUGACCCUCCCCAGAGGCCCUCUGCUGCCUGCAGAGCCAGCGGGGAAGGCAGGCACCCCUGCUUCUCAGACUGAAUCCUGACUGCGCUGGGUCCCCCAGGAGGCCAAGGAGCUGCCCAUGCCCAAAGGCAUGUGGACGGCAUCAGUGCUGCAGACCCUGCUGAGGUUUCUCUGGUCAGCAUGGAGAAAACAGACCCUUUUACCCAGCUGGACCCCACCCUACCCCACAGUCCAGUGGCCACCAGUCCGGUAAAUACCCAGGGCUGAGGACGUGCUGGGGCAAGGCAAGUACUCUCAGCUACUUCCUAUGCCCAGGGCUGAGGGAAGAGGUGGAAGGGACAGACCAAGGGGCAGGGCUGCCAGGCUGAGAGCUGGAGGGCGGAGAGCUCAGGUCCUGCGGGUGGACGCAGACCCCAGGAAGAGCCCCCUGGUGUGGGCUGAGUCCACACCCGAAGAGAACCGGCCAGAGCUCCAGGAGUGGCCUCUUCUCAGUCACAGCGACAUGUGGUGAGUUGGACAGGAAGGGCCAGGACCACAAAGAGGCCCCAAGUGGGAACUGACGUUUCCUCAGCCCAGUGUGGUCCGGGGAGGUGAGAUGGAGGUUGGGGAGCGGGGAUCCGGAGCAGGGGAGGUUGGUGCCCACCGGGCCUCUAGCAAUAGCCGGUGGGCAGUCCUGACUUGGAGAGAAGGUGGUCUGCUCUCCUCCAUGCUCUCUUGGCAGAGCUUUCACGGGAAUGUCAGUCUGGAAGACAUCUCUGGACUGCGUAACUUCCUUAAUGCUGGCUGUGGUGGAGGCCAGGAGCCAGCCGCCCUCACUCGCUCUCUGGAAGGGGACCGUUUUGUCUGCCUGGUGACGUGUCAGCCCUGCAGCCGACCUGUGGCCCUGAAGGGGAGGCUCCAGGGAUGCUGCCCUCAGGUGAGAGUGGAUGCUCCAGAAAAUGUGCCCUCUGUUUGUCUCUAGGAGAAGCAAAAAUCCUUCAAUCAUCUACAAAACGGUGCCUUUUCCUUCUAGAAGAUGGCUGCAUGUAGAGAGGGCAGAAAAAAAAAAAAAGGACAAAACACCAAGUGCAGAAUAAUGUCACAGUAAGCUGGGCUCCCGCUCCAUUUUUCACAUUGUUUCCUAUUUGCAAUAGCUACUGGGUGCCAGAGAGGAGAGGAACAACUUUAAAAAACAAUUAGCAGGACAUGUGGUGUUCAUUCUUGGCUGGCACUAUGCAGGCCUCAUCUUCCGGCAAAUACUCCUGUCUCUCAUGAAAAAUGUUUUAGAACUAAUGAGCUAUAUUCGCAUUCCCCGUAGAAUGGAUUCGGAAUUUUUCAUCUACGCCGCACCAUGAAAAAUGGAUGUGUUUGGCACAGAAGUCAUUUGAACAUAAAGCCCGGCCUCAGUGGAAAGACAACCUUCAGAAAAACUUUUCAAGUAAGUUUAGUUCAUUCGUACUUGCUUCCACCCGGGAAGGUCAGGUUCGUGUGAAAGAUGGAAAUUUCUCGCACAGACCUAGAUGCUGAUGAGAUUUGUUUUUGUAGAUCAUCUGCAGCAGUGAAAUCUUUCAUAAUGUCACUGCAAAAUAAAUUAAAAUGUUCAUCUUCAUAUGGCUGGUUCCAUUGCAUUAAAAUAAAUGUUGCAAGCUCAUUUAAUUAGUAUAGUUAGGAAUGUCUCUUCCCUGCUUCACUGACUCUCCAAAUCACAAGUUAAUUUGUCAAAAUCAGACCAUUGUUUUUCCUUCAUUCUUCAUUACUAGAGACAGCCCCAUUUAAAUAAAUGUUUAUGCUACAGAGAGCAGAGCAGUGAACAACCCCAAAUAUUUUCACAAGCCAGUGUUGGAAAAGUUUAAAACACAGGGAGUGAGGAUGCAUUUUUUCCCCUCCCUUUGCGGUUAUUGGAUAUUUGACUGGCUGAAAAGGUACAAAAUUGAGCAGUCUGCUGUAACCGAUGAUGCUGCAUCCGCCAUUGCUCAUGUCGGCGGGCUACACCCUCUUGAAAGCAGUUUUCUUCUCUGUUUUCAAAGACAAAUGAUGACAAAAGAUACCAUCUCUAUCAAUUACCCUUAUCAGAUCGUUCUCUUCAAGAAGCCUUGGUUAAUCGAUUUGGGCGUGGAGGUCUGAACUAGGUGGGGAAGAGGGGGUUCUGGUUUUUAUAGCCGUUUGCUCACCAUUCCUGGCUGCGAGUAGCCACUCUUCCUGCUGAAAAUUCAAGGGAUAACCAAAUUCCAGGGUUUCCUUCUAUCCUCUCUCACUUCCCAACCCUCCCAAACCUCCAAGAAAAUAUUAGAAGUACCAAUGACCAUUGAUAAAGCAUGAGUUCCUGGCAAUAGAAGUAUGUUGGGGUUAAUGAUGAAGACCAGGGAAAAGGGGUUCACAUAAUUAGCUGAGGUGUUACAUCUGUGGAGGUCUUCUGGAAGACAUCCAUCAGUAAUGGAUGAAAGCACUUAUCACAUCAUUAUCAGUGCCCCAUACUAAUGAGACAUCGCAUUCCUGCACCCUAGAGGCUUCUCCACGAGAAAAUGCCGCAGCGCUCAGCUCCAGAUUCAGCCUCAACGGGGGGAAGGCCAACUUUCCUCCCCGAAGCUUUGUCUUUCACCAGCAUGGAGUGACCUGACCUCCUAUCUCCGUAAAGAAGCCAAAAGAUAGGUUAGCCUUUUUCUUCUUACUGGGUAGGGUUUUCUUGUCCUGUGACCCAUUUUCCUACGCUGCUCUUGCUUUGCACGGCUUUUCUCCCCUGGGGCAGAGGAGUUCAAGGAAAUGGAUGUGGUUCUUCAGAUUUCUCGGUAGGUGGUGGGUUGAAAAGGCUUUCAAAGUUGUCCUCAGUAUGGUUCUGAUGAAGUCUAAUCUGAAGAAUGAAACUUUCAUUUUUUUCUUUUCUUUUUUUCUCUUUUAUUUUUUGGUACAAUUCCUCAGGACCAACAUUGCUUCAUUAGUAAAUUAUUUAAUGAACAAGAAGAUUUAAUUACUAUGUAUUAUACAGAUGUGCCUGUUUGACUUUCAAAAAUCAGACUCAGGCAGGCAGGAAGCAGCAGCAUCCCUGCCUUCCCUCCUUGACAGCUGGGAGUUGCCUGAAAGUAGUAGCUGAGCAGGGCACUGAGCCUGCAUUCAUUCAUUCACUCUUUCAUCUCAUAAACCUCUGUUGGUGGCCCUGGACUAGGCACUGAGUGUGCAGAGCCAAUCUCCUUUUCUUACAUAAAAGAAGUGGAGCCUUCUGACUAGACCAGGGCCAAUAUGCCUGUCGCCUACUAUUCAGCCCCUGAACCAGGCCACCUUAUCUACAGUGGUACAAUUUUACUGGAAACAGCAUUUGUGCCUCUGGUUGGCCAUGGAGCAGCCUUUGGGAAACUGGAAAUCAAGCCAUGCACAUAAAAGACAAGUGAAUUGAACGAAGGGGGAAUGCCUGGGGAAUUCAUUAUAAGGCAACUUUUGAAUAUAUAGAUGAAAUUUUAAAAUGGAAAUCAAUCCAAAAGCUAAUGAACAGGUAAGCAAACUGUGGUAUAUCCAUACAACUGGAUGUUAUUCAGCCACAAAAAGGAAUGAAGUAGUAAUACAUGCUACAACGUGGAUGAACCUUGGAAACAUUGUGCUAAAGGUAAGAAGAUACAAAAGAGCACAUCUUGUAUAAUUCCAUUUAUAUUAAAUACGCAGAAUAGGCAAAUUCAUAGAGACGGAAUGUAGAUUAGUGGUCUCCAGGGGCUGGGGGAAGGGAGGCAUGGUGAGUGACCGCUUAUAGGUACAGGGUAUGUUUGGGGGUCGUGUUUAGGGUGAUGAAAAUGUUCUGGAAUUAGAUAGUGGUAAUGGUUGCUUGACCUUAUGAAUACUAAAACCCACUGAAUUGUACACUUUAAAAUGGUGAAUCUCAUGCUAAUUAUAUCUCAAUAAAAUAUAUAGAAGGCAAUUUUCAAACAUACAGAUUGAAAUUCUGAAAUCAUAAAAUUUUUUUCACUGAGAAAUUCUCAGUACCAUUUUAUGAUACAUCUAAUGAAUGAGUACCAAAAAACAUACACGUAAAGAUGAAAGUUAUAAAGAUCAAAAUGGGGGAAUGGGCUUCCAUUUUUGUGAGAAUUAAAUCAGGACCUAAAGCAAACCUUUCACACAGGGCUUCGGAGGGAUCAGGACAUGACCACUUGUGUCUCUACUUCUAAUUCCAAAACAGAAUCAUUCAGGCCUGGGGUACCCACAUCACUGGAUAGUUUAUGAACUCCUGUUUUUCUUAACCUGCUUGACAACAAAAACGCUUUUGCUUACCUCUCUGAUAAGCAGCCCUUUCUCUGAUCCCUGUUGAUAGAAAUUAGACAGUAAUCUGUUCAAAUCAGCGUUUACAGGCAAGAUGAGUUUUCCAGAAGAGAGAAGGAAAGGACUCAAAGCAGCCAAUCAAAGGGCUCUGUGGAGGAAACCCAGGUAGAACCCCAGUAAUAAAUACAUUUAUUGCCUGGACAGUAAAAAGUACUGGAGAGUUUAAAAUAAAUUCAGAGUUAUUUAAACUUAAUUUAUGACCAGGAAAAUAAACCCUCUCUUCCACCAUUAAUGUUUUUUAUCUGGGCCAUCAAAUGUCACACGCUACUGAUUUUGGUUGUAAGGUCACUGGAAACAGCAUAUCAGAGGUGUCAGCACCACAAAUCAAGUGAAAUUCCUUUAAAAAUAAAAAUGUCAAGAGUAAAGUAAUAGGCAAUAGUUACUUCAUGCUAUGAAAGACUUCUAAUAUAUCAAAAGGUUCACCUUUUUCUACCUUUAUGGUGUAUCACUUUGAGCGCUAAAUAUACUUCUGCUUAACAGAUAAAGUAAAGAAAACAGGCAUCAGAAUGCCGAUGAUAAUAAGAAUUAUGACAUAUAAUAAAACUAUUUGCAGGCACAGAAACAUUAGAAGGCAGAAGCCUGAAUAUAUCAAAAGACAAACAAUGACCCUGAAUAUAGGGAGAUCUGCUCUCUAGCAUGUCAGUUAUUUUAAGGGGUCACCUUAAAGGUCAACUAAAACAGUGUCUUUGAAAUCAGAAUACAAAUUAUAUUGGGUUUGGGUAAGAAAAAAAUGAACAUCUUAGAGCUAAUGUGAUUCUACACAGAGGUCUAAACCCUGAAGCAAUCCUUUGGUCUUUUAUCUAAGGACUGAAUAAAACAGAAGCAAGUGCCCAUGUGCUGGGAGGAGAUGAAAGGUAAAGGAGACUUGGAGCAGACGGAUUCUUCAUGAUCCUGAUGUUAAACAACUGACAGGCAGUGGCAUUUGCCAUAAUGUGUCGUUGCUAAAUGCGUGAACUCCUGGCAGGGUAAAUUCAGCCAGGAUUACUCUUAAUGCCAAAGCAUCUGACUGAAAGGGUUAUCAAAGCCCCAGAUAACAAAAAAUGACUUUGUUUCAUCCUUGUGACAUAUCUUACAGCGAUUUUCUAGGACGUUAAAGGUAAAACCUUGCUUCCUGAUUCAAAGACUCAUAAUCCAGUGGAUGAAACGGCUCCAGGGAAGGAUAAAGGAGGAUGGAGCCAUUCACAUAGAAGCACAAAUUUCCCCCAAGAUGGUAGUGAACAGUUAGAGAAAAGCCAUAAUUCUCUAGUUUAAGCCUCCCAAAGUUCUUUGAUCAUUGGGAGUAGUGGGGAGGGGAAGAGGAGGUCAUGUUUGCCCAUCAGCAGGUACCAUGGGGUGGGAGAUGGGCCAGUGUCAUCACUGGAGUCACAGCACAGGUGCUCUGCAUUUCAGAAAAGUCAAGUGUGGCUGACUCCAGAAUGGAGUAUCCCUCUUGGCUGUGGUGGCUAUAGAAUUUUAGUGAUGAAAUUGAUCGCCAAAGACUUGAACUUCUAUCUCCUUUCAUAUGACAGAUGAGGAAACUGAGGCUCAACCCCAGGAGGGAAAUGCUUGAGGACACAGCCAAGAUGAGAGCCUCCACUGUGGUCCCUGGCUCCAGCCAGGCCACUGAUGUGACUGUCACACACAAGCCCCACUUGUGUGAAGCAGCUGUUCCAACUGGGAGGCAGGCUCCCUGGAAUGAUCUCCAGUCCUUGAUUUGAUGUGUAUGUGAUGAUAGCAUUCAAGUUCACUCAAAAGUAAUUGCUGGGACUUCCCUGGUGGCGCAGUGGUUAAGAAUCCUCCUGUCAAUGCAGGGUACAUGGGUUUGAGCCCUGGUCCAGGAAGAUCCCACAUGCAGAGGAGCAACUAAGCUUGUGCCCCACAACUACUGAGCCUGUGCUCUAAAGCCCGCAAGCCACACCUACUGAAGCCCGGGCACCUAUAGCCCAUGCUCCACAACAAGAAAAGCCACCUCAAUGAGAAGCCUGCACACCACAAUGAAGAGUACCCCUGGCUCGCCACAACUAGAGAAAGCCCGUGUUUAGCAACAAAGACCCAACACACACAAAAAGACCUUCCAGAUUCAAGAUAUCAAGUGGAUGAACAGGCGGGAGAGUCAGGUGGAAGAAGGAAUUGAAACACAGGAAAAGUAAUGGAUUGACCUAAAGUGAAGAAGGCGGUUAUUCCCCUUUUGGCACUGGUGUGAGGAUUGAAUGAGACGGUGUAUGUACAGUCCUUGCCUGCAGGAAACACUCAUUGUUGUAGCCAUGAAGAGCCACUAGGCCUGAAAACAAGAGCACUGUGUAUCAACUGGGCUUUUUCCAAGCAGUUCUUACAGAAAUCUCAGACAGCCUGGAUCAGAGUAAGAUGACGUCACAAGAUGAGUUCCAGGCCCUCCCUGGCUCUUGGAAGGACACCCCUUGUGAUUCCAUCUCCUUUGGCAACCCCCUCCCUUAAUGAAUUCAUCCUCCACUUCCAGGCUCUGCUGCCCCUGCUAAGGCUUUCAGUUCAGUUGUAUGUCGGCUGAGCCAGUGACUUCUAGAGCAGACUCGGUCCACAGAGCCCUGCGAGACGGGGGUCUGCUUCCUGGCUCCUUCUCCACUCAGUGCAGUGUUUUGGAAGAAAAGCCCCCCAGUGGCCGGGCAGAGAAUGCUGUCUGUGCACCCUAGACACAGAGCCAUACACAUAAAUGUGCAUCCCCCUGGGGAGGGCAGACAGCCAAGUCCUAGAAACUUGCCCUAGGAAAGUCCUGGAUGUGUUCAUAACUUGGAAGGAGAAAGACGUAAGAAGAAGGUGCCCACGGCGAUUGGUUUAUUAUAUCAAGGAAGCAUUAGGAAAAUUAAUUAAAAGGUAAAAGAGAAUGAAAAGAAAGAAAUGUGGCAGCUCCCUCUGGCCCAGUCCCUUUUCUCGGAUCCAAGAAGCUGUGGGAUGUGACUUAACCUGACACACGAAGGUGGCACUUGGGUCAUAAGGCACCGUGCAAUGUGGCAGCUGUGCGUGUGUGUGCGAGAUUACCUGAGGCGAACUCAUGUCUUUUUAUCCGAAGCCAGGCUGAAUUGACGGCCUCGUGGAGGAUGCGGGGGGUCUCACUACCUCCUGAUGGUGUGAUUAGUGGUGCCGGGUGCAGCAGCUGAGCGGAGAGAAGGCCUGUGAGAGCUGAGCCGGCUCCUUUUGUGGUCUCUUACAAAGAAUCGUGUUGCAGAUAUAAAUACCUUGGAAGUACUGUUUGCACGUUGGCCUUUCUUUGGACUUCCUUCUUUAUCUAGUGGCAAAACAAACUGCAAAAUCAAAGAGCAGCUUCUGCUGGCCCGUGUCUACGGGGAGGGCUGUUGUUGUUUACUCAGCCUGAGUGGUUGCCCACCUUGCCUACACUUUCUGGAAACUUCUCAACUCUGAACUCCACAGAGAAGGGGUAAAUGGCUUCAAGGAGAACAUUUUCGUGUGCUGAAAUCAUAGAAUUAAAUACCACAAACGUUCACCAGCCGCCCGCUGUUUGCAAAGCCAGUGCCGAGCUCAGCCGGAGGCAGAAGGAACCGGGCUCUGGGAACUCACCACGGCGGGGAGAGACGGACACACCGACUCAAGAGCCCCAGAGGGUUCAAACACGAGGUUUUAGGUACAGGGGAGGAAGACACCGGUCUUGCAAUUUGCCAGACUGUCUCUACUUCUAGAGCUGUCCUGCUGGCCACGGAAAUCGCUCAUCUUGCAUCGCACCGCCCUGCACGGCUCUUGGCAACACUCAGACAACACUGGCUGUGUGAAUGCUGCCAGGAGGGGAGAGUAGCUGGGUGUGGAAGGUCAGCUGGGGUCUCUGCUCACCAGUCAUUCAAGGAACCAGCCUGACAAAGCAGCCACCACCUCCAACCCUGAAGGUCUCCCAGGAUCAGGGAAGAAAGAGACACGGAGUGCUCGCUCCAGCAGUUCAACACUUAACCCAGGAGGGUCACACAUCGCUUCCACUCCCUGUGCAUUGUCCACGACAAGUUCAUGGUCCCAUCGCCCACGGAGGGACCUGGCAGUGUGUCCACUAUGAUGACCACACAUGGAGACUAAGACAAGACCCAUUGCCACACGAGGCAGAAUGGGGCGGAUGAGCUUGGAAGCACUCCUUGAAUUAACCAGAGAUGCCCUGGAGGAUGAACGGCAAGGCUGAGAAUCACUGAAUUAAGAAGCUGAAAAUCAAAACUCAUCUGGAAUAAUCUUAAAUCCAGAAAAGCCCUAAAAAUGCAGUAAGAUGACACCCGGCAUUAUACGGAUUGACCACAUUAUACUGUGGCAUGAGUACCACAGAUAAAAUCAUGGUCCCUGAAACAACAGCAGAGCAAAGAGAAAAUGUGUGAUAUAAAAUACAGUUAACCUAGAAGUCAUUUACUGAGCAUCAGAUACUUCAUGUUUUCUCAACUGAUCAUCACAGGAAGAUACUAGAAGCAUCCUCACCCUUCAAGGGAGAAGAGGACGACAACACAAGAAAAUCCUUGACUCACACGAUGAUUACCUUUCUCACUAAACAUCUUCAGAAAACAGCUCUCCUGAAUUACAAUGUAAUUUUAAAAAGAAUAAAACACAGAAUCAAAAGUUAUGCUCUGAAAUAAAUCUUGGGUUUAGAUCUCUACCUGCCCAGGCUUCAUCUGAUUAUGAGACUAUAUAUUUAUCUCAAGAAACGUUAAUAUGUGUUGCUUCAAUGUUCACACUAUAUGCAUUUAUAUCCAUUAUGUAACUAAAUCCUCAUUAACAAUUCUAUGAGGUAAUAAUAGGAACUCUUUUUUCCUCUUUAUGGAUGCAAAAGUGACAUUUACAGAGCUUGAAUAAUUUGUCCAGGUUCACACAGCCAGUUAGAACAAGAGCUGGGAUUUAAACUUUCACAUCUUUCACUGAAGCCCCAGCUCUAAGCCAUGGUGCCAUUUCCUUGAUUUUCGGUUUAUAGAUACAG